UUUUUUUUUUUUUUCGCCCUUUCUAGGGCCACUCCUGCAGCAUAUGCAGAGGUUCCCAGGCUAGGGAUCUAAUCAGAGGUGUGGCGGCCAGCCUACGCCAGAGCCACAGCAACGCCAGAUCUGAGCCGUGUCUGCAACCUACAUCACAGCUCACGGCAACCCCAAGGCCAGGGAUCGAACCCGCAACCUCAUGGUUCCUAGUUGGAUUUGUUAACCACUGAGCCAUGACGGAAACUCCAAAAUUUACCAAUUUGUGAUACACAAAUCAUAACUUAGAAUAUUUUCAUUACUUCUCAAAGUUAAAAAUAUAAAAUCAAUUGAGAGGCAAGGAUUAAUGUUUUUACUUAUUAUAUUUAUUAUCAACUUUCAAGGAUUCGUGACAGAAACCGAUAUUCAGCCAGUGCUACUGUAAACAAUUAAAAAACUGAAUAAAAUACAUGAAAAAUUGUAUAUAUUUAUUGAUUAUUUAUAUUCUUUUUGGGGUGCCCUGGCUCUUCCAGGCCAGGGAUCAGAUCUGAGCCCCAGUUGCAACCUAUGCCACAGCUUCAGCAAUGCCAGAUCCUUAAACCACUGUGCCAGACCAGAGAUCAAACCUGAGUCCCAGGGCUCCAGAGUUGCCACUGAUCCCCUUGCACCACUGUGGGAGCUCCAAAAUAACUGUUUUUAGAUGUUGCAUGAUAGGCAAUACAGGACUGUGAUCCUCGGAAGAAGGAAAAAAAAAAAUAAGGUGAGCUGCAUAUGGCCUCCCUUUAUACUUGGAGUUAAUUUCUGGACUGUGGUAUGAGGAGAGGUAGCCUAAACAGAGCACAGUAAUCUCCCUGAUGUAAGACAGAAAUCAGAGCUCAGAGCUCUUAGUUAUCUGGAAUGUUUGGGGGAAAGUACCAAAGGUAAAGAAGUGAUGCCAAAACCUGCUCCAGAAAUCUUUAGCAGGAACUUCUUGAGUUUUUGACCAAAUAGGAAACUGUGCAUGCACAGAACAAGCCUCCAAGAGAACUAGUAAAUAACAAUUACCAGGGAAAGAACAGCUAUCAGUUAGCUAUAUGCUAAAUAAUUACUGAACUCAUCCUGGCUAGGAGAUGUUCAAGUUUAAAUCAGUUAAAAUUAAAACACUUUAUAAAAAUGAUGUCUCAGUAGAGGCUUCAGAAAGAUCCCGCCUUAGGAGAAGGACUAAUCUAGCCCUAGGGUAAAAGUUUCCCUAGACUGACCCUAAGAAAUCUUAAAAACACAUUUCAAAAGAGUUAAUUCCCAUGCAAAUUAACUCCCUGACAAAAAAAUCCCUAACUCUAUUAUGGAAGUUAAAAAAAAACCCUAGGCAUUCAACAAUGUAGCAUUCAUAAUGUCCAUCAAAUAAUAAAAAAAUUAUUAUAAAUAUGAAGAAUCAGGAAAGUAUAAUCUGUUACCCAAAGAAAAAUUAGUUAAUAGAAAUACAUCCUAAAAUGAUGGAAGUGAUGUUAUUAUCAACAAAAAUUUUAAAAUAGUUUUAUAAACUGUUUUAUUAUAUUUAUUCAACUAUUACAACAUGUUCAACUAUUUUAAGGAACAGAUUAACACAACAAAGGAACAGUUAGAAAGUCUCAAUAGAAAAAUGGAAAGGUGUGAAAAAGAACCAAAUAAAAAGCCCAGAAUCCAAAAUUAAAAUACAUGAACUGAAAAAUUUUACUGAAUAGGUUUAACACCAGAGAUACAGAGAAGAAAGAGCAGCAAACUUAAAGAAAUGGCAAUAGAAACUAUCUAAACUGAUCACAUAGGGGGAAAAAGCCUAGAAAAUUCUUUACAAAGUCUCAGUGAUUUAUUGGAGAAUACAACUGAAUACUGGAAAAUACUCAAUAAUCCAAAAGAAGGCAGGAGAGGAAGAGGAUAAGAAUAGAGAACAUAAAAAAGGUAUAGAAAAAAAAAAAAAGCAAUAUAUGGACUUAAAACUAGCCAUUUCUAGGAGUUCCCGUUGUGGCUUAGUGGAAGCAAAUUUGACUUAGGAUCUAUGAAGAUGCAGGUUCGAUCCCUGGCCUAGCUCAGUGGGUUAAGCAUCCAGCGUUGCCGUGAGCUGUGGUAUAAGUUACAGACACAGCUUGGAUCUGGCAUUGCUAUGGCUGUGGUGCAGGCCAGCAGGUACAGCUUGGAUUUGACCUCUAGCAUGCAAACCUUCAUAUGCCAUGGAUGCAGCCCUAAAAAAAUAAAAAAGAAAUACUAGCCAUUUCUAAAUUUACAUUAAAUGUAAAUUAAUUAAAUAUCCUAAUUGAAUGACAGAGGUUGUCAAACUAAAUUGUUUUUUAAAAAGCAAGAACAAAGUAUACGCUAUCUAAGAGAUUUCCAUUAAAUAAAUGAUCCAGAAGAUUAAGUUUAAGGAUAGAAAAAUACACACCAUGCAAAGACUAAUCUUAUGAAAAUGUAUACAAAAAAUAAUAAUCUUAUGCAAACACAUUCUUACGAAGGCUGGAAUGGCUGUUACUAUCAAACAACAGGCUUCAGUUCAGAGAGAUUACCAGAGAUAAAAAGGUAAACUUUAUAAUAAUAAAAUGAUCACUUCAUCAAGAAGACAUAUAAUCAUAAUAUGUGUGUAAUUAGUAACAGUUUCAACAUACAUACACAUAAAAACUGGCAGAGGUAAUAUACAAAUUCAUAAUUAUAUUUGGAGAUUUCAAUACUCCUCUCUAAAUAAUUAAUAGAACAAAUAGAUACAAAAUCAAUGCGACUAAGAUGCUUUGAACAAUACUAUCAACCAACUCAAUCUUUUGACAUUUAUAGAACACUACAUAGAACAACUGCAGAAUACAUUCUAUCCAUGUGCACAUGGAACAUUCAACACAAAGAGGGCAUAGAAUAAGGCACAACACACUUUAAAAGUUGGAAUAAUAUUUUCUAUGUUCUCUGAAUGCAAUUUAACUAAAAUAGAAUUAAACAAAGAUAUCUACAGUAGAACAACUUAAGCUCACCUUCUCUCAUAAAACAACAAAAUUAUAAUCAACAAUAUUCAACAUAAUGGACUAGAAACUGUCAAAAAAGAUAUCCUACUCCAGAAGACAAAGAGGAGGCCACACUGAGAUGGGAGGAGGGGCAGUUACAUGAUAUAAGCAAUCCUAUACCUGCUGGGUGGGCCGCCCACAGACUGGAAAGUAACUGUAUUGCAGAAGCUCACCCACAGGAGUGAAAGAUCUGAGCCCCAUGUCAGGCUCCCAUGCCUGGGGAUCUGGCAUUGGGAGGAGGAGCCCCUAGAGAAUUUGGCAUUGAGGGCCAGUGGGGCUUGUGCAAAGGAACUCCACGGGACCGAGGGAAAUGGAGACACCACUGUUUUUUUUUUGUUGUUUGUUUGUUUUGCUUUGUUUUGCUUAUUAGGCUGCAUCCAUGGCAUGUGGAAGUUCUCAGGCUAGAGGUCAAAUUAGAGAUACAGCUGCCGGCCCUCCAGCUAUAGCUAUGCAGGAUCUAAACUGUGUCUGUGACCUACACCACAGCUUAUGGCAAUGCCAGAUCCCCAACACAUUGAGCGAGGCUAGGGAUCAAACCUGCAUCCUCAUGGAUACUAGUCGGAUUUGUUUCUGCUGUGCCACAAGAGGAACUCCAGAGACUCCACUCUUGAAAGGCACACACAGGCUUUCAUAUGCGCUGGGUCCCAAGGCAAAGCAAAGACUCCAUAGGAAUCUUGGUCAGACCUGCCUUUGAUUCUUAGAGGAUCUCCCAGGAAAACAGGGGUGACCAUGGAUUUUUGAGGGGGAAGAACAUUGGAGGCAAAGGUCUCAGAAAUAAUCAUCAGCAUGAACUCCUCUAGAGGUGGCCAUUUUGGAAGAAUCUGGCCCACACAUCAGGGCUGAGAAGCCCAAGGCCAAACAACAAACCAAGUAGGAACACAGCCCCACCCAUUGGCAAACAGGCUGCUUAAAGACCCCCCAGGCACACAUCAAAGCCUCUAAUCUCACCCAGAGACAAAGUCCCACACACUAGAGGGAUAAUAAUCAGCUCCACCUACCAUUGGGUGUGCACCAGUCCCUCAUGGGAAGCUUGCAGCAAGCCCCCAUACCAACUUCAGCCACAAGGGGGGCAAACUUCAGAAGCAAGAGAGGCUGCAAUGCUAUUGUCUGCAAAAAGGAGACCACACCAAAAAUCUACACAAAAUGAAAAGACAGAGAAUUAUGACUCAGAUAAGGGAACAAAAAAAUCCCCAGAAAAACAUCUAAGUGAUUUGGAGAUUACAAACCUCCAUGAAAAAGACUUUAGACUAAUGAUAGUAAAGAUGAUUCUAAAUCUUGGAAAUAAACUGGAGGCAAAGAUUGAUAAAUGACAAGAAACACUGAGAAAAGAAAUAGAAGAUUUAAGGAUUAAGCAAGCAGAGAUGCAAAAUACAAUAACUGAAAUAAAAAAUUUACUAGAGGCCAUAGCAGAAUACAGGAGGCAGAAGAAAGAGUAACUGAGGUGGAGGACAGAUAGUGGAAAUCACUGAUGCAGAACAGAAAAGAGACAAAAGAUUGAAAAGAAAUGAAGACAGUCUAAGAGAACUCUGGGACAAUGUUAAACGCACCAACAUCUGUAUUACAGGGGUGUCAGAAGGACAAGAGAGAGAGAAAGGGCCAGAGAAGAUAUUUAAAGAGAUAAUAGCCAAAAACUUUCCUAACAUGGGAAAGGAAUCACUCACUCAAAUACAGGAAGCACAACUAGUACCAUAUACAAUAAACCCAUGGAGGAACACCCCAAGACACAUGCUAAUCAGACUGUCCAAAAUUAAAGAUGAAGAGAAAAUACUGAAAGCAGCUAGGGAAAAGAAGCAAAUAACAUACAAGGGAAGGCCCAAUAAAGUUAUCAGCAGAAACUCUUCAGGACAGAAGGAAGUGGCAAGAUAUACUUAAAAUGAUGAAAGGAAAAAACCUCCAACUAAGAUUACUCUACCCAGCAAGGCUCUCAUUCAGAUUUGAAAGAGAAAUCAAAAGCUUUACAGACAAGUAAAAGUUAAGAGAAUUCAGCACCACUAAACCAGCUUUACAACAACUACUGAAGGAACUUCUCUAGGCAGAAAAGGAAAGGCCACAACUAGAAACAAAAAUAUUACAAAUGACAAGGCU
rnacentral:lncRNA from 1 species